UUGAUGGCGACCGGCAAACGGGUGCGGAACACGUACACAACCUUCCUUUAAGUGGGGAAUAGCCCAGAGAAAUUUGGAUUAAUACCCCGUAACACAACGAAGUGGCAUCACUUUGUUGUUAUAGUUUCGGCGCUUAAUGAUGGGUGUGCGUAUGAUUAGAUAGUUGGCGAGGUAACGGCUCACCAAGUCUACGAUCAUUAGCUGAUGUGAGAGCAUGAUCAGCCACACGGGCACUGAGACACGGGCCCGACUCCUACGGGAGGCAGCAGUAAGGAAUAUUGGUCAAUGGACGCAAGUCUGAACCAGCCAUGCCGCGUGAAGGAUUAAGGUCCUCUGGAUUGUAAACUUCUUUUAUAUGGGACGAAAAAAGGUCUUUCUAGACCCCUUGACGGUACCAUAUGAAUAAGCACCGGCUAACUCCGUGCCAGCAGCCGCGGUAAUACGGAGGGUGCAAGCGUUAUCCGGAUUCACUGGGUUUAAAGGGUGCGUAGGCGGGUAGGUAAGUCAGUGGUGAAAUCCUGGAGCUCAACUCCAGA
rnacentral:rRNA from 1 species